rnacentral:rRNA from 1 species
UGCCAGCCGCCGCGGUAAUACGGAAGGUGCGAGCGUUAAUCGGAAUUACUGGGCGUAAAGCGCACGUAGGUGGCUUGGUAAGUCGGAUGUGAAAGCCCUGGGCUCAACCUGGGAAUUGCAUUCGAUACUGCUUAGCUAGAGUAUGAGAGAGGGUAGUGGAAUUCCGGGUGUAGCGGUGAAGUGCGUAGAUAUAUGGAGGAAUACCGGUGGCGAAGGCGACUUUCUAGUUUAUUCCUGACGCUGAGGUAUGAAAGCUAGGGGAGCAAACCGGAUUAGAUA